UACGGAGGGUGCGAGCGUUGUCCGGAAUUAUUGGGCGUAAAGGGCGCGUAGGCGGCUAGAUGUGUCAAAGGUGAAAUCCCUCGGCUCAACUGAGGAACUGCCUUUGAAACUGUCUGGCUUGAGGCCGGGAGAGGGUAGCGGAAUUCCCAGUGUAGCGGUGAAAUGCGUAGAUAUUGGGAGGAACACCAGUGGCGAAGGCGGCUACCUGGACCGGUUCUGACGCUGAGGCGCGAAAGCGUGGGUAGCAAACAGG
rnacentral:rRNA from 1 species